rnacentral:rRNA from 1 species
CGUGUAGGCGGUUGGUUAAGUCGGAUGUGAAAGCCUGGGGCUCAGCCCCAGAAGUGCAUCCGAAACUAUCCGGCUAGAGCGCGAUAGAGGAGGGUGGAAUUCCUGGUGUAGCGGUGAAAUGCGUAGAUAUCAGGAGGAACACCGGCGGCGAAGGCGGCCCUCUGGAUCGUUGCUGACGCUGAGACGCGAAAGCGUGGGGAGCAAACAGGAUUAGAUACCCUGGUAGUCCACGCCUUAAACGAUGGGUACUAGGUGUUCGGGGGUGUUGACUCCCUGAGUGCCGCAGUUAACGCAUUAAGUACCCCGCCUGGGGACUACGGCCGCAAGGUUAAA